AGCGAACGCUGGCGGCAGGCCUAACACAUGCAAGUCGAACGAACCUUUCGGGGUUAGUGGCGGACGGGUGAGUAACACGUGGGAACGUGCCUUUAGGUUCGGAAUAACUCAGGGAAACUUGUGCUAAUACCGAAUGUGCCCUUCGGGGGAAAGAUUAAUCGCCUUUAGAGCGGCCCGCGUCUGAUUAGCUAGUUGGUUGAGGUAAUGGCUCACCAAGGCGACGAUCAGUAGCUGGUCUGAGAGGAUGAUCAGCCACAUUGGGACUGAGACACGGCCCAAACUCCUACGGGAGGCAGCAGUGGGGAAUCUUGCGCAAUGGGCGAAAGCCUGACGCAGCCAUGCCGCGUGAAUGAUGAAGGUCUUAGGAUUGUAAAAUUCUUUCACCGGGGACGAUAAUAACGGUACCCGGAGAAGAAGCCCCGGCUAACUUCGUG
rnacentral:rRNA from 1 species